AUUGCAGCCUGCAACUCGGCUGCAUGAAGCUGGAAUCGCUAGUAAUCGCAGAUCAGAAUGCUGCGGUGAAUACGUUCCCGGGUCUUGUACACACCGCCCGUCACACCAUGGGAGUUGGGAAUGCCCGAAGUCAGUGACCCAACCGCAAGGAGGGAGCUGCCGAAGGCAGGCUUGAUAACUGGGGUGAAGUCGUAACAAGGUAGC
rnacentral:rRNA from 1 species